CGACUCUAGCGUACUAGAAUAACAUUAAGCAUACACCUUUCUUACAGAACCGGUGAACGAGAAUAACGCAUGCGAUACAACAAAAACCAGCGGUGCUCUUUACGCUUCGGUUCAGUCUGCAACUUACAACCAGCGGGUCCAGCAACGGCACCACAAGUGGCCCAGAAGGCGCGCAGUGGAGCACUAUGGACACGCCAUUUCAGGAUGAAGUACUCGACGAGGCUGGAUAUUACGAGUCGCCGUACGCGGCCAGCAUGAGGAAACAGCCUUCCACGUCUCGAUGUAGUGCUAUGAGCUGAGGACACUCGUUCCACCAGAUCACGAGUCUGCGACAAACCCGAGCAAUGUACGGUCCUACCUGACACCGACCGGCCUCCCAACUGAUACACA